ACGGAGGGUGCAAGCGUUAAUCGGAAUUAAUGGGCGUAAAGCGCACGCAGGCGGUUUGUUAAGUCAGAUGUGAAAUCCCCGGGCUCAACCUGGGAACUGCAUCUGAUACUGGCAAGCUUGAGUCUCGUAGAGGGGGGUAGAAUUCCAGGUGUAGCGGUCAAAUGCGUAGAGAUCUGGAGGAAUACCGGUAGCGAAGGCGACCCCCUGGGCGAAGACUGACGCGCAGGUGCGAAGGCGUGGAGAACAAACAG
rnacentral:rRNA from 1 species